AAGUAGCUUUUGCACAAAGAUUUCACAAGGCAAAGAGCUGCAAAAAAAAAUGUCUGCUCUCAUUUCGGAUGGAUGACAUGUAAAUCAGAAAGAAGGGAAUAUUACAUUGCUGGGCAGAUGAGAAGAUGAACAAGUUAUAAAAAACUGCUAUUGAAAUCAUUGACUUGGAAGAUGAUUUAGCUUUGCUUUUACAUUAGAAACUUUACUAAGAUUCAACAUUGGUGAGAAGUUGGAGGAGAACAAGUCUGAGUGUGAAGCCUGUGUCAUCAGUUGAUGAAGAACAAUAAGAUGAAAAAAGGGUGGAGCCCAGGACUGAGGACAGACCGUGAAGAUGACACUUGGAUUAUCCAGCUCCUCUCAACAUGGCCAAGAGGCACAGCUGGGCAAUGGAGAAUUGGGCCAUAUAGGAUUUGGCUCUACCCUACAGCUGACAGCUCAGGUGCUGCAGACACACAUAUGUUCUCAGGCCUCACCAUGGCUACAUAUCUGACCCCAGAAUCAAAAGGGUCAAAACCAAAGAUAUAAGCUUAUACCAAGAUUUCCCCCACACUAUGUGAGACCCCAGCAGGGAGCCCUCAUAGCUUUAACUCACAGACCAAUCAAGCAAGUAUUAAAUAUUAUAGAAGCAACUAUUUUUUUGACCUUAAAACAUCUAUUAGAGACAGUAUGAAUCUGUCUGACCCAUAGACCCAGGCAAAAACGUCUAUAUUAAAAUCAGAAUUUUUUAAAUUGUAAAACUAACUUAAUUUACCAAAGAUUAUUAAAAUAACAUGAAUUUAAAAGACUUUGAGCUGUUAAUUUAUGAGUGUUUAUGCUAAAUCUAUUUGUUGUCAUUUAGACAAUACACAAACACAUGUAUAGAUAUAUACACACGUAUUCAAAAGCUAAAGAGAGCAGAACCUCAAUGUGAAAGAGAGCUGGGCUUUAGAUCAGUGAGGAACUUGUUUAUGAUGCUUGGUUUUCUGUAAGAAAGAAGACUCCAGAAGAGGGGGUCAGUGACGCUGUUUUUUGUUGUUGUGGUUUAGAUGGUUUUAGGGUCUCUAGAAGCUCUAGAAGUCUUUUUUGGAUUCCUUCAAGUGAUAUUAAAUGUGACCAAAAAAAAAAAAAAAAAAGGGAGGGGCUGAAGUAAAUUAAAGAGCAAGUCUUUUUUUUUUUUUUUUUUUUUUUUUUUUCUGAGAUAAAAUCUUGCUCUGUCGCCCAAGUUGGAGUUCAGUGGUGCAAUCGCAGCUCUCUGAAACCUCCUCCUUUCGGGUUCAAGUGAUUCUCCUGCCUCAGCCUCCCGAGUAGCUGGGACUAUAGACGUGCACCACCAUGCCUGACUUAAUUUUUUGUAUUUUUAGUAGAGACAGAAUUUCCCCUUAUUAGCUAGGAUGGUUUCCAUCUCCUGACCUGGUGAUCCACCUGCCUCAGCCUCCCAAAAUGCUGUGAUUACAGGCGUGAAACACUGCACCCAGCCAAGAACACGUCUUAUAGGAGCCAGUUUGGGGAGAUAAAAAGUUUUCAAAAACGCCAACAUAAUUCUAAUUAACAGAGUUUUGAGGGGGAAAACUGUAGGAGGGGGAUGGGUCUAAUCAACCAAAUUGUUUCCAUGUGACAACUAGAAUUUAAAAGAGAACAAAGAAGUUAAAAAUAUAUGUAUAUGUUGAAAUAUUGACUAUUAAUAAAGCCAAAUUCUGCCCAUAGAGCUUUAAAAAC
rnacentral:lncRNA from 13 species